UACGGAGGGUGCAAGCGUUAUCCGGAUUCACUGGGUUUAAAGGGUGCGUAGGCGGGCAGGUAAGUCAGUGGUGAAAUCUCCGAGCUUAACUCGGAACUGCCGUUGAUACUAUUUGUCUUGAAUAUUGUGGAGGUAAGCGGAAUAUGUCAUGUAGCGGUGAAAUGCUUAGAUAUGACAUAGAACACCAAUUGCGAAGGCAGCUUACUACACAACGAUUGACGCUGAGGCACGAAAGCGUGGGGAGCAAACAGG
rnacentral:rRNA from 1 species